rnacentral:rRNA from 1 species
GACGAACGCUGGCGGCGUGCUUAACACAUGCAAGUCGAACGAUGAAGCCGGAGCUUGCUCUGGUGAAUUAGUGGCGAACGGGUGAGUAACACGUGAGUAACCUGCCCCUGACUCUGGAAUAACUGCGGGAAACUGUAGCUAAUACCGGAUACGACCCUCGGCGGCAUCGCCAGGGGGUGGAAAGAAUUUCGGUCAAGGAUGGACUCGCGGCCUAUCAGCUAGUUGGUGAGGUAACGGCUCACCAAGGCGACGACGGGUAGCCGGCCUGAGAGGGUGACCGGCCACACUGGGACUGAGACACGGCCCAGACUCCUACGGGAGGCAGCAGUGGGGAAUAUUGCACAAUGGGCGCAAGCCUGAUGCAGCAACGCCGCGUGAGGGAUGACGGCCUUCGGGUUGUAAACCUCUUUUAGUAGGGAAGAAGCGAAAGUGACGGUACCUGCAGAAAAAGCACCGGCUAACUACGUGCCAGCCGCCGCAGUAA